rnacentral:lncRNA from 1 species
AUGAUAUUUCUCUCUCUCUGUCCAUCUCUCUCUCUUUCUCUGUCCAUCUCUCUCUCUCUUUCUCUGUCCAUCUUUCUCUCUCUCUCUCUCUCUCUGUACAUCUUUCUCUCUGUCUAUAUUUCUCCCUGCCCAUCUUUCUCUCUCUCUCUCUGUCCAUCUUUCUCUCUGUCUAUAUUUCUCUCUGUCCAUCUUUUUCUCUGUCCACCUUUCUCUCUCUCGAUGUCCAUCUCUCUCUCUCUCUCUGUCCAUCUCUCUCUUCCUCUGUCCAUCUCUCUCUCUGUCCAUCUCUCUCUCUGUCCCUCUCUCUGUCCAUCUUUCUCUCUCUCUGUCCAUCUCUCUCUCUCUGUCCAUCUCUCUCUGUCCAUCUCGCUCUCGCUCUCUCUCUCUGUCCAUCUUUCUCUAUGUCCAUCUUUCUCUCUCUCUCUGUCCAUCUCUCUCUCUCUGUCCAUUUCUCUCUCUCUCUCUUUGUCCGUCUUUCACUCUCUCUCUGUCCACAUCUCUCUCUGUGUCCAUCUUUCUCUCUGUGUCCAUCUUUCUCUCGCUAUCUGUCCAUCAUUCUCUCUCUGUCCAUCUCUCUCUCUGUCCGUCUCUCUCGCUCUCUCUCUCUUUGUCCAUCUUUCUCUGUCAAUCUCUCUCUCGCUCUCUCUCUCUGGCCAUCUUUCUCUCUCUGUACAUCUUUCUCUCUGUCUAUAUUUCUCCCUGUCCAUCUUUCUCUCUCUCUGUCCAUCUUUCUCUUUCUCUGUCCAUCUUUCUCUCUCUGUCCAUCUUUCUCUCUCUCUGUCCAUCUUUCUCUCUCUGUCCAUCUCUCUGUCUGUCUUUCUCUCUCUGUCCAUCUUUCUCUCUGUCCUUCUCUCUCUCUUUCUCUCUGUCUAUAUUUCUCCCUGUCCAUCUUUCUCUCUCUUUGUCCAUCUUUCUCUUUCUCUCUCUGUCCAUCUUUCUCUCUCUCUGUCCAUCUUUCUGUCCAUCUCUGUCCGUCUUUCUCUCUCUGUCCGUCUCUCUCUCUCUCUCUCUCUCUCUCUCUCUCUCUCUCUCUCUUUGUCCAUCUUUCUCUCUCUCUCUCUGUCCAUCUUUCUCUCUCUCUCUGUCCAUCUUUCUCUCUCUCUGUCCAUUUUUCUCUCUCUCUCUCUCUGUCCAUCUUUCUCUCUCUCUGUCUGUCCAUCUUUCUCUCUCUCUGUCUGUCCAUCUUUCUGUCUCUCUCUCUCUGUGUCCAUCUUUCUCUCUCUCAGACAGAGCGACAGUCCAUCUCUCUCUCUGUCUAUAUUUCUCUGUCUAUAUUUAUCCCUGUCCAUAUUUCUCUCUCUGUCCAUCUUUCUCUCUGUCUGUCUUUCUCUCUCUCUUUGUCCAUCUUUCUCUCUCUCUCUCUGUCCAUUUUUCUCUCUCUCUCUCUCUGUCCAUCUUUCUCUCUCUCUCUGUCUGUCCAUCUUUCUGUCUCUCUCUCUCUGUGUCCAUAUUUCUCUCUCUCAGACAGAGAGACAGUCCAUCUCUCUCUGUCUAUAUUUCUCUGUCUAUAUUUAUCCCUGUCCAUAUUUCUCUCUGUCCAUCUUUCUCUCUGUCCGUCUUUCUCUCUCUCUCUCUCUGUCCAUCUUUCUCUCUCUCUCUGUCCAUCUUUCUCUCUCUCUCUCUCUCUCUCUCUCUGUCCAUCUUUCUCUCUCUCUCUCUCUGUCCAUCUUUCUCACUCUCUCUCUGUUCAUCUUUCUCUCUCUCUGUCCAUCUUUCUCUCUCUCUCUCUCUGUCCAUCGUUCUCUCUCUCUCUCUCUCUGUCCAUCUUUCUCUCUCUCUCUCUGUCCAUCUUUCUCUCUCUCUCUCUCUGUCCAUCUUUCUCUCUCCCUCUGUCCAUCUUUCUCUCUCUCUCUCUCUGUCCAUCUUUCUCUCUCUCUCUCUCUGUCCAUCUUUCUGUCUCUCUCUCUGUGUCCAUCUUUCUCUCUCUGUCCAUCUUUCUCUCUGUCCAUCUUUCUCUCUCUCUGUCCAUCUUUCUCUCUUUCUUUCUCUCUCUGUCCAUUUCUCUCUCUCUCUCUCUCUCCAUCUCUCUGUACAUCUUUCUCUCUCUCCUCUGUGUACAUCUUUCUCUCUCAGACAGAGAGACAGACAGACUGUCCAUCUCUCUCUCUGUCCAUCUCUCUCGUGCUCUGUCCAUCUUUCUCGUGCUCUGUCCAUCUUUCUCUCUCUCUGUCUAUAUUUCUCCCUGUCCAUCUUUCUCUCUCUGUCCAUCUUUCUCUCUCUUUCUCUGUCCAUCUUUCUCUCUGUCUAUAUUUCUCCCUGUCCAUAUUUCUCUCUCUCUGUCCAUCUUUCUCUCUUUCUCUCGCUCUCUGUCCAUCUUUCUCUCUCUCUGUCCAUCUUUCUUUCUCUCUGUCCAUCUUUCUUUCUCUCUGUCCAUCUUUCUCUAUCUCUCUGUCCAUCUCUCUCUCUGUCUAUAUUUCUCCCUGUCCAUCUUUCUCUCUCUCUGUCCAUCUCUCUCUCUCUGUCCAUCUUUCUCUCUCUUUCUCUCUCUUUCUCUCGCUUUCUGUCCAUAUUUGUCUCUCUUGCUCUCUGUCCAUCUUUCUCUCUUUCUGUCUAUAUUUCUCUGUCUAG